rfam:Mucinivorans hirudinis complete genome
CCUACUGUUCCGUCAGUAGUAGCCUAUGGGUACGUGCAUUUCAAGUGAUUGGUUUGUACGAAGCUACCCAGACAAAGUAGCCCUUCCGCAAGGAAAAGCAGAAGCCGUGAGGCAGAAGCAAUGACCGCCAGCAUUAGGGGGUUGGGGAG